rnacentral:rRNA from 1 species
AGUGAACGCUGGCGGCGUGCCUAAUACAUGCAAGUCGAACGAAGUGGCGCACGGGGGAGUAAUAUAUAGUUAGUCUGCCCUACACAGAGGAACAACAGUUGGAAACGACUGCUAAUACCUCAUAGUGUAGGAUGAGACUAUAUCGUAUCAGCUAGUUGGUAAGGUAAUGGGUUAUCAAGGCUAUGACGCGUAACUGGGCUGAGAGGAUGAUCAGGCACAUUGGAACUGGGAAACGGUCCAAACUCCUACGGGAUGCAGCAGUAAGGAAUAUUGCGCAAUGGGGUAAGCCCUGACGCAGCAACGCCGCGUGGGGAUUACACUUUUCGGAGCGCAAACUCCUUUUAUCAGGAAAGCGGUACCUGAUGAAUAAGCCCCGGCUAACUCCGUGUCAGCAGCCGCGGUAAUUC